rnacentral:rRNA from 1 species
CCUACGGGAGGCAGCAGUGGGGAAUAUUGGACAAUGGGCGAAAGCCUGAUCCAGCAAUGCCGCGUGAGUGAUGAAGGCCUUCGGGUCGUAAAGCUCUUUUACCAGGGAUGAUAAUGACAGUACCUGGAGAAUAAGCUCCGGCUAACUCCGUGCCAGCAGCCGCGGUAAUACGGAGGGAGCUAGCGUUGUUCGGAAUUACUGGGCGUAAAGAGUACGUAGGCGGUUAUUCAAGUCAGAGGUGAAAGCCCGGGGCUCAACCCCGGAACUGCCUUUGAAACUAGAUAACUAGAGUCUUGGAGAGGUUAGUGGAAUUCCGAGUGUAGAGGUGAAAUUCGUAGAUAUUCGGAAGAACACCAGUGGCGAAGGCGACUAACUGGACAAGUACUGACGCUGAGGUACGAAAGCGUGGGGAGCAAACAGGAUUAGAUACCCUGGUAGUCCACGCCGUAAACGAUGAUAACUAGUUGUUCGGUCACUUGGUGACUGAGUGACGCAGCUAACGCAUUAAGUUAUCCGCCUGGGGAGUACGGUCGCAAGNUUAAAACNAANGAUGACGNUGNGNGUUGCGAGNGACAGNGGAGNG